GACAGAGGGGGCAAGCGUUGCUCGGAAUUACUGGGCGUAAAGGGCGCGUAGGCGGGAUGGCAAGUCGGUCGUGAAAUCCCUCGGCUCAACUGAGGAUCGUCGAUCGAUACUGCCGUUCUUGAGGAUUGCAGAGGAGACUGGAAUUCCCGGUGUAGCGGUGAAAUGUGUAGAGAUGCGGAGGAACACCGAUGGCGAAGGCAGCCCCCUGGGCUAACACUGACGCUCAGGCACGAAAGCGUGGGGAGCAAACAGG
rnacentral:rRNA from 1 species